rnacentral:tRNA from 1 species
GGAGAGGUGGCCGAGUGGUCGAAGGCGCUCCCCUGCUAAGGGAGUAGACGGCUAAACCGUCUCGAGGGUUCGAAUCCCUUCCUCUCCGCCA